AUCCAACUUACCAGUCCCAAAUAGGAUGAAACGCGUGUCAAAUUGGAU
rnacentral:hammerhead_ribozyme from 1 species